CCAUCUCCCGUCGCGCCUAUAUAGCCCUGCCAAUCCUAGGGUUCCGCGCCCCUCCUAUCGCCGCCGCCAUCCCUCUUCUCCACUCCAUCAUCUCCCUACCCCGGUAAGUUCAGAGAGAGAUCGUCAGGUUCAGAGCGAGAGCAGGGGAUCAUCCUCGUCGUCCCCGCCUUCUCCUUCAUCGUCAGCAGCCUCUCCGCGGCGUCUGAGGCGCCCGCGAGGAAGCUGGCAUUGUCCUUGUCCCGUUCCCGCGCUAGGAGAGGUCGAGCCCCCUCCAUGGCGUCGGCCCCGUCGUCGCAUCACCGGCGCGGAAGCUUCACUGCAGCAGGCCACUCCAAGCAUCUUCUUCCUGCGCGCCUCGUUCUCGCCUUCGGUGCAACCUAGGUGAGCAGAGUAGACCCUCUUGCCCUCUCCCGCGUGCUCGAUCCGCUCGUCGUAGCGUAGCAUCGUCGCUGUCGCGUUCCGCCAUGGCCAGAAGCGCAAGCUUCUUGCGCCGCCAGUAGGUUCCCCCUUCCGCCGCAUUAGCCCUGGGAAUGGAACCCCCUAGGAUUUCCGCACCCCCGCCGGUCAGUUGUUGCAGUCACCGUUGCCGCAUCGUCGCCGGAGUCGAGCUCCUCCUUCCAUCUUCUCAAGGUAGAAGAAGAUAGGGCGUCNNNNNNNNNNNNNNNNNNNNNNNNNNNNNNNNNNNNNNNNNNNNNNNNNNNNNNNNNNNNNNNNNNNNNNNNNNNNNNNNNNNNNNNNNNNNNNNNNNNNNNNNNNNNNNNNNNNNNNNNNNNNNNNNNNNNNNNNNAGUGUAGAUAUCCUAUUAGGUGCCGAACCGUUUCUGUUUUAGAUACCCCUCCUAGGCCAGUGGUUCCAGCGCCGCUCCUCGACCCCGUGGUCGUGGGUUCGAAUCCCCGCCGGCGUCCCUUCGUUGUUCCUCCCUGUUGCGGUUAGCUGUGGAGUAAGAUAGGUGGCUAGUGGAGCCUGGUGGUAGCUAGUGUGGUGUGUGUGCAUGAGGUGCAGGUUUCGACUCCCCCCUGCACCUUUUCUUUUGUGUGGUUUGUGUGUGUGUGGCGUGUGUGCAAGGGAUCCCUUGUGGCCAUGUGUGGGAUCCCAUGUGCCUAUAUAUGUGCGUGUGUGUGUGUGGCUGUGUGUGUUGUGGGGCUUGGCCCACUUGCAUACACCCACUAGAGGGCCCCGGUGCAAUAACCAGUGGGCCCCAUGCCAUAUUGUUUUUUUUUUGUGUGUUUUGAGUUGUUUUCUAUUUUUAGGUAUAGUCCAAAUAGGGAUAUAGCCGGUUUUGGCCUAUGCCAAAUUAGGCAGUUUUGACUUAUAGAUUUAUUGGGCCAAUGUGUAUUUCUCUUCUUAUUUGUGGCUGUGAUAUUACCUUUUGUGGAUUAAUUCCAGAAGUGGGAAUUACCUAAUCUGGUAUAUACCAGAUAUGGCAGGGCAAGAACAGUUCAUGUUCUUGGCACGGUACGUUUUAAUCUUGUGGAGUAUUUCUUUUGUUGUUUGUGUUGUUUUCCUGCAUGCAUAUAUAACAGUGUAAUAUAUGGAUUUGGGGUAGGAGAACCCAAGGAAUUCAAUGGUGGCACUGGAUUCCAGUUUUGAGCAGUUUUGCAGAAGUGUCACUUUGUGAUGAGGUGACACAUGUUUACCUUUGUAGGUUGGUUUAAGUGCAUAAUUAGGGGUUGGGCAUUCAUGCGUCAUAUUAGGGUGUGCAUCAUAUCGUGCUUGUGUUGUGGUGUAUAUCGUGUAUUGAUUCUUGUUUCUGGUUUGCUUCGUCUCGAUAGUGUUCCGCAAGUGUGUCGGAAUGUGAGGAUCCGUUCGACUACGUCGGUUCGCCAUCUUCACGGAGUCGUUCUUCUUCCAAGAGGGAUCUCGGGAAAGAUGAUCAUUUCCCUAGAUACCAUUACUAUCAUUGCCAUGCUAGUUGGUUCGUUUCUAUCGCUAUGUCUUGUUGCCUACCACCUGUUAAAUGCCACCCUCUCAACAUAGCCACGAAAACCCUCAACCUGUUCAGAACCUAGCAAACCACUGUUUGGCUAUGUUACUGCUUACUUAACCAUGUGUUAGCAUUGCUAGUUGCAGGUGCAAUUGCUUCCAUGUGUUUACAUGGGUUCCUUGUUAUAUCACCAAAUUACUGCUAUUUUAUUUAAUGCACCUAUAUACUUGGUAAAACAUGGAAGGCUCAUUCUUUCUAGCCUGGUGUUUUGUUCCACCUUUGCCCCCUUAGUUUCGGCUAGCGGUGUUAUAUUCCAUAGUUGAGCGCUCCUAACAAAAUCGGGGUUGUUAUGAGGACCCCCUUGAUAAUUUGUUUUAGUUUAAACUGGUCUGGCAAGGCCCAACUUUGGUAGUACAUUUGCCUAAUAACUAAUGGACCACAUAGGGAGUAAUUAACCCGAGGAAACUUAAUCAACCCCCGGGCCAGUGCUCCUCAUGAGUGUUGGUCCAAAAAGGGCAGACUGCGGGGCCACCACGGGGCAACUCGAGGUUUGGUUUUACCCGUAGGCUUUCCCAUUCGGUCGUGUCCUAAGAACGAGAUACACGGCUCCUAUCGGAUUCGUCGACACGUCGGGCGGCCUUGCUGGAUUAGUUUUACCUUUAACAAAAUAUCUUGUGCAUCGGGAUUCCGGUGAGACUUUGGGACUUCUCAGAGUAGAGGUUUUCCACUAAGGAAUCCAAUGAAGUCACGAGUUUCAUGAUUGAGGCUUUCUAUGUGGCUUGUGGUAAUUUAUGAUGGACUAGUUGGAGCACCUCUGCAGGGUUAAAUCUUUUGGAAAGCCGUGCACACGGUUAUGUGGCAACGUGGAAACUUUGUUUAACAUCCGAUUAUAGAUAACUUGAAGUUAACUUAAUUAAAACUUGCCAACUGAGUGUGUACCGUGACUAUCUCUUUCGUGAGCUCCUUCUCCAAUCGAGGACACGGUGGGGUUACGUUUGACGUAAGUAGGUGUUCAGGAUCAUUCAUUUGAUCAUCAGUAGUUCACGUCCAUUAUGCGUAGAUCAUUCCCCCUCUUAUUCUUGUACUCGUAAGUUAGCCACCUCAUAUAUUGCUUAGUCGCUUGCUGCAGCCUCACUCCUUAACCAUACCUCACCUACUAAUCUUUGCUAGUCUUGGUACCUUUGGAAAUGAGAUUGCAGGUACUGGUAAAUCGAUAUUAAGACAUGAGCGCGAUCAUUGUUCAUUUGGAGUUUCUUCGUCUUCUUCUUCUUCAUCGAUCUAGGAUGGGUUCCAGGCUCGCAGCCUGGGAUAGCACGGAUGGACGUCGUUCUUUUAUCGUUUGUUUUCAUCCAUAGACGAACCUGCUCUUCUUUAUGAUGAUUGUAUGUAUUGUACUGAUGUGACUCUGAUGUAGCUUGUGGUGAGUGUAAGCCAAUUCCGUAUACUCAUCUUUUCAGUACAUGUAUUUGUAACGAUAUCCAUUCUUGCGAAACGACGAGAUGCGCUUCUAUCCCCGUCGAGGCCCUCAUGCUAAAAUAAGGAUAGGAUCGCAUCUUGGGCGUUACAAGUUGGUAUCGGAGCAGUACCGACCUAGGAACCCCCUUGAUUGAUCGAACUUGGCCGAGUCGAGUCUAGUAAAAAUCUGCUUUGGAUCUAGUUAUAUAUCAAAGAGUAGGAUUCUUUUUUCUCCUCUUCUAAGCUCUAGUGAGGAAUCCUGACGUAAUAAUUUUAUUCUACUCCUCUUCUCACUCAAAAAAAAAAUUAGGAUCACACAGAUAUUUUUGGAAUCUAUAUGAUGUCGAUGUGACGGAGUUCUGUCUUGGUGCCUCCUGUCUGACUUGAUUUCUUCCGGGGAGUUGAGCUCUAGGGGAUUCUUGAGCACAUCGUUAUCAUUCAUAUUUCUUAGUAUCUCGGGACGAAGGAUGUCCGAAAUGGCUUCAAUACUAGUAGUGGCGAGAGGAGUCUAGCUUCCCCAGUACUGGUGCAGAUAGGUCUGGAUGUAUCGCCACACUUAGUAUCGUUGUGAUUACGAGGAUCUGAUAUAGAUGAGUUUUCGAGGUCUCUGGUUAUGUGUUGACGGAUGUGAUACACUGGAUGGGUAGUGUUAUUGUUAGGAGUUGAGUGAUGGAUAUUACUCCUUGUAUCCGUGGACCAGAUCGCAUGACCAGGAAUUUCGGGAGUUCUUAGGUGGGAAUUCAAGUAGUCACUUAUAGGACAAUCUUCCAACAGAUGCAUGAUGUGAGGUUGGGGUUCGACAUUUAGUGGAUUAUUUGUUCACUGUCGUUUUACAGUGGUUCACGUUGUGUCUUAAAGAGUCCUUGUAGCUUGCUAUGACUCAGGACGCUUCGUAUGUCAUGAGCACUGCCUAGGCCCGGUCUUGAGGGAGGGCAGGGGGCGGCCGCCCCGGGCCCCGGGAACGGAGGGGCCUCCCACCGAGGUGUGUGUGCUUAGCCAGUUAGGCCUGCUACUUCGUGGACUGAAAAAAGCAACACAAUCAUUCUGGGCCAAGUUACUUAGUAUAGAAGACAAAGUCCGAUUAAUAACCCACCAGAGCAUUAGCGAUCAUGGAUUGAUUCUCAAAACAAAAAAAACGAUCGUGGACUUAGUCAGCCUUCCAUGAUACAUAGUACAUCAGGUACGGGGUUGGGCUUCACGCAUGCAUGAGUCAUGGCAUCGGCGUCGGCGGCUGCCGUGGAUCAUUUUUUCCUUGUUCAUUCCGCAGUGGCGUCGCACCCUCUCCCCGGCCGGAUACAUCGCCUCCUCGUCUAUAGGCACCG
rnacentral:lncRNA from 1 species